AAAAGUCAGCAGGUUGAAUUUUUUCCAAACUUCAGCUUGCAGCCUACAGCAUCUUGGAUCCUCAGCUACUUCAGCCGAAACUCAAGUUCUCCAAUUUGAAUAUUCAGCAGGAGAAGAAGGCUGACUGAAUACUUAGAUUUAACAACAAUGGUUAAACAUAUUCCUUUCUUAUGAUUCUGCUCCAUCUUUCUAAGAGUAAUUCAGUGUCAACAGCAACGGUGGUGGAGAGGAGUCACACUUUCCUCACCUUUAAUUGUAAAGUAAUUCAGAAAAAGAAAGAAAUUCUACUAGUCAUUAUGACCUCCAGGGAAAGGCAUGGAGGUUUGAGGCAUGAAGACUCUAAACAGCCAAAUUAUGUCUUGGGCACAGAUUCUAUUAUUCAGUGGUAACCCAUCAGCCUAGCUCUCUGUGAAAAGCAAUUGUAAAAGCAGAAAGAAGGACAUUCCAGAGAAGGAAAAUGUUCUAACUCAGAGAAGGGAGCAUUUCAGCUCAUUCUUGACGGAUAUGUGAAAUUCUGGAGUCUGGGAAGUCCAAGAUGAAGCUGCCUGCAGAUCCAGUGUCUGGUGUGGGUCCACUUUUUGGUUUGCAGAUGACAAUGACCACGUGGCAGAGAGCAGAGAGGGAGUGGCUCUCUUUCCCUUGUUAUGUGGACACUAAUCUCAUCAAAGGGGUUCCACCCUCACGAGCAAUUUACUUCUAAAAGAUCCCACUUCCCAGUGCUAUCACAUUAGAACUUCAGCAUAUAAAUGUGGAGGAAACACAGGCAUUCAUUCCAUAGUACACCCCUCCUGCUUGUGGAAACAAGGAGAUCUGUGUGAAAAGGGGCCCUUUCAUACUUCAUGCAAUUUACAAGACAGACUUCACUUGCAACUCCUGCUUGUGUAGGACCUCAAGGACAGCUGCAGAACCCACCCAGAGAUUGAGUCUUCUGAGAAUGACAUCAGAGAAAGACUGCCCUUGCCACCCACACUGCAACAAAACUUUGGGACCUUGGAUCUUGGGUUCAUAAUCUCGCAAUUCAGAAGGACUUCUCCAGACUCUUAGAUUUGAACCUUCAUUGGAGACCUUAAGAUGAUGUCAACUGAAAAGACUUGAAGACUGGAGAUGAAUCAAAGGCAGGAGUAUCUCCACGCCUGGGGAAAGAACUCAUCAUCUGAUGCCAUCUUCAUUCACAUGUUUAGCUGUUGACACUGCCUGUUGUCAGGACUCUCAGCUGGGGCUGUCCCAUGGAAACUUAUGUAUGGCCUCUCCAUGUAGCCUGAGUUGCCUCACAGCAUGAUGGCCUUGGACAUCUUACCUGGUGCUCAGGGCUCCAAAGGCAAGUAUUAAAAAAGAACAGGGGAAAGCUGUACCACCUAUUGUAACCUAGCUUCAGAAUCAGAUAGCAUCACUUCUACCAUACUCAGCGUCACCCAGCAACAAGGGGAGGAACAUAGAUAUCACUUCUUGAUAGGAGGGAUGUAUAAGUCACUGAGAUUAUGUGGGUAAAAGAUAUUGCUGCAGUCAUUUUUAGAAAAUUUAAUGUGUCAUGAUAUUUUUCUUGGAUUGUUUUUAUUGUUGCUUUUUAUGAAUUGGGUCCUUUCUUUCAUUUUAUAUCCUAAGUGUUUAUGAUUUAAUGAAUACUACUGAUUCCUGUAUAUUACAUCUGCUGAUGCAACACAUAUAACCUUAUUGAGUUCUGCCACCUCCCGUCUUUGUAUUUUAUUCUUUUGGGUAUCAGUUGUAUUAUGAGAAAUCAACAGAGAGUUUUACAUUUCCCACUCCAAUUUUGUUGAGUGUUCCACUCUUGCAUAAUUGUGUUGGCUGUGAGCCUCAGUAUAAUGUUAAAUGUAAUGGUGACUGUAGACAUCCUCACUUUUUUCCUGACUAGCAGAAAUGCCUGUGCUUUUACAUUAACUAAAGUAGUGCAAC